AGUCAAAAGGAUAACAGUCCAGACUUCUGAUUAAGGUCCCUAAAGUAAUGCUAAGUGGAAAAAGAGGUGUCUUUACUUAUACAUCCAGGAGGUUUGCCUAGAAGCAGCAAUCCUUUAAAGAAAGCGUAACAGCUCACUGGACUAGCGAAGAUGCGCUGAAGAUGUAACGGGGCUAAGCAUUAUACCGAAAUCGAAGACCAGUGUAGUAAUACACUGUGUGGUAGGAGAGUGUUCUUACAGGAUGAAGCUACAUCGCGAGAUGUGGUCGACUAGUAAGAAGUAAAAAUGCUGACAUGAGUAACGCUUAUUGAUGAAAAUUCAAUAUAUCGAAACCCUAAGGAUUCCUACGCAACGUUCAUCGUCGUAGGGUUAGUCGGGACCUAAGGCUUAUCCAGAAGUGGAGAGUCGAUGGAUAACUGGUUAAUAUUCCAGUACUUAUAUAAAGAGUGAUGGAGUAACGCAUUGAGAUUUGUGAGAGCUCAUUAAGGAUUUGAGUCGAAAGAGUGAGGUUUUUAUAACCCUAGGUUAUAAAGGUAGUUGCAGGAAAAUCCACAGCUAUUGAUACUGAGCUUGAUCGGAAUUUGAUUCCUCGGAAUUAGAAAUUCUCAUCGUUUUGGUGCCGAGAAAAACUUCUAAACUUAAUCUUUAUGUAACCCGUACUCAGAUCAGACACUUGUGGGGUGGUAGAGAAUACUAAGAUAAUCGAGAUAAUUAAUGGGUAAGGAACUUGGCAAAUUAGCGGACGUACUUUCGAAAUAAGUCCUGUCCCGAGCAAUCGGGAUCGCAGCGAAAGAGAUGGGGGGAACUGUUUAUCACAAACACAGCUCGUUGCUAACUCGUAAGAGGAUGUAUAACGGGUGAUGCCUGUCCAAUGCCAGAAUGUUAUGCUCUCUUGUGCAAGCUCGAGGGUUAAGCACUGGUGAAUGACGGCCGUAACUAUGACGGUCCUAAGGUAGCGAAAUUCCUUGUCAGGUAAGUUCUGACGCGCAUGAAUGGCAUAAUCAUCCCCAUGCUGUCUUACCCUUAAACUCGGUGAAAUUACAUUCCCGGUAAAAAUGCCGGGUAGUCACAGUUAGACGGGAAGACCCUGUGAAGCUUUACUGUAGAUUGAUAUUGGAUUGUAGCAUGUCUUGCUCAGUAUAGGUGGGAGGCUUUGAUGUUUCAACUUCGGUUGGGGCGGAGCCAAUAGUGAGAUACCACCCAAGAUAUGUAGCAAUUCUAAUCCCUAGGUUGGGAGACAGUUUCAGUUGGACAGUUUACCUGGGGCGGGUGCCUCCUAAAAAGUAGCGGAGGCGUGCAAAGGUUUGCUUACUACGGAUGGAAACCGUGGUGAAUGUGUAUUCGCAUAAGCAAGCUUGACUGUGAGACUGACAGGUCGAGCAGAUACGAAAGUAGGCGAAAGUGAUCCGGAUCUUCCAAGUGGAAGGGGAUCCGCUCAACGGAUAAAAGUUACUCCGGGGAUAACAGGCUAAUGGAAUCUAAGCGUUCACAGCGACGAUUCCGUUUGGCACCUCGAUGUCGACUCGUCGCAUCCUGGGGCUGUAGAAGGUCCCAAGGGUUGGGUUGUUCACCCAUUAAAGCGGGACGCGAGUUGGGUUCAGAACGUCGUGAGACAGUUCGGUCCCUAUCUACUGUGACCGUAGGAUAUUUGAGAGAUGCUGACCCUAGUACGAGAGGACCGGGUUGGACGAGCCUCUGAUAGUACCAGUUGUUCCGCCAGGAGCACCGCUGGAUAGUUAAGCUCGGAAAAGGUAACCGCUGAAAGCAUCUAAGUGGGAAACUUGUCUCAAGAUUAGAUAUCCCUCUUCU
rnacentral:rRNA from 1 species